GGAUGCAAGGGCUAUCUGGCUAUGACAUCUGCCAUCCCACUGAUCGUCAGGAUUGAUUUGGCUGAUCUGGCUGGCUAGGCAGCUGUCCCUUUGGCCUUGCCAAAGCUGUGUGCUCAGUGGAGAGGACAACCCUCCCAGUAGACUACCAAUCUUCGGUAAAGGGUGUGGGCA
rnacentral:snRNA from 1 species